UGGAUGAAGACAGAGAAGUGGAGUUUGACGCUAGUAUGUAUCAUUUUAUUGAACAUGUACCUCCAGCGAGGGAGACCAAGAGCUUGAGUGAAGCUCACAGGAACAACAGCAAGCUGUAGAACUGGUGUAAGAAACAGGACAAGCUACUCCCCAAGUGCCUCAAGACUAUCAAGUUUCUGAUAGAUAAGCUGAGCUGCUCCUCUUCCACUAUAGCUAUUCCA
rnacentral:pre_miRNA from 1 species